AGAUAGCUGCGAUCUGAGCGCACAAAACUACCGGAUAGCGCUCAGAUCCUAUUCACACAGUUCAAUUGCCAUGGAGCCGAAGUCUUUAACUACACGAAUGGGCUCCAUGGCAUAGCUAUCUGGGUUAACACAUUUACAUAAAGUCUGGUCCAUAGUCCAAAGGUAGCAGGCGGGCAGCCAGGCUUCUCCAAUGCAAUUUGGCGAGAUUGCUCUCGUCACACAUACAGCACACACACACACAGCACUCAAACACACACUAACAGCACCCUUACACACACACGCUAACAUCACACACACACAGCACCCUUACACACACACACACUAACAUCACACACACACAGCACCCUUACACACACAUACAUCACCCUUACAUACACAGCACCCUUACACAUACAGCACCCUCACACACACACACACACACUAACAGCACCCUUACACACACAGCACCCUUACAUACACACACACACACACUAACAUCACACACACACAUACAGCACCCUUAUACACACAUACAUCACCCUUACACACACAUACAGCACCCUUACACACACAUACAGCACCCACACACACACAUACAGCACCCUCACACAC